rnacentral:rRNA from 1 species
UGGGGAAUAUUGGACAAUGGGCGCAAGCCUGAUCCAGCCAUGCCGCGUGAGUGAUGAAGGCCUUAGGGUUGUAAAGCUCUUUUUGCCGGGGACGAUAAUGACGGUACCCGGAGAAUAAGUCCCGGCUAACUUCGUGCCAGCAGCCGCGGUAAUACGAAGGGGACUAGCGUUGUUCGGAAUCACUGGGCGUAAAGCGCACGUAGGCGGAUUUGUAAGUCAGGGGUGAAAUCCCGGGGCUCAACCUCGGAACUGCCUUUGAUACUGCGGAUCUCGAGUCCGAUAGAGGUGAGUGGAAUUCCUAGUGUAGAGGUGAAAUUCGUAGAUAUUAGGAAGAACACCGGUGGCGAAGGCGGCUCACUGGAUCGGUACUGACGCUGAGGUGCGAAAGCGUGGGGAGCAAACAGGAUUAGAUACCCCUGUAGUCCCUGAGCGGGCUGGCAAGGCGCAU